CACGUGGGGAACCUGCCCCAUAGUCUGGGAUACCACUUGGAAACAGGUGCUAAUACCGGAUAAGAAAGCAGAUCGCAUGAUCAGCUUUUAAAAGGCGGCGUAAGCUGUCGCUAUGGGAUGGCCCCGCGGUGCAUUAGCUAGUUGGUAAGGUAAAGGCUUACCAAGGCGAUGAUGCAUAGCCGAGUUGAGAGACUGAUCGGCCACAUUGGGACUGAGACACGGCCCAAACUCCUACGGGAGGCAGCAGUC
rnacentral:rRNA from 1 species